UACAUAUGGUCCAAGCGUUGUCCGGAAUGACUGGGCGUAAAGGGUGUGUAGGCGGAUUGGAAAGUCAGGUGUGAAAUCCCCGAGCUUAACUCGGGAUCUGCGCUUGAAACUUCCAGUCUUGUGCAUGUCAGGGGUAAGCGGAAUUCCCGGAGUAGCGGUGAAAUGCGUAGAUAUCGGGAAGAACACCGGUGGCGAAGGCGGCUUACUGGGGCAUUGCAGACGCUGAGACACGAAAGCGUGGGGAGCGAACAGG
rnacentral:rRNA from 1 species